rnacentral:rRNA from 1 species
CUAAGAAGAAACGUAGGGUAUGUGAAUCUGCCUCACCCUCCGACGGCGUCGCCACGACCUGAGCCUCGGGUUCGGUAAGCUGCGACGGUUGUCGAACGUGGAGAAGCGCUUUUAGUGGUGCUCACACUACACGACUGUCAGACUACGGAAGUCUUAACCGAUGAAAGUUGGUUCUAAUCUCGAUCGCAUGUCAAACGUCAAAUAUCAGUAUGCGUAUGAGUUACUCAGGGAUGGAGCCGAAGACCCGUUCUAUAAGAAAUGAAAAUCCUUAAAACUCACCGCGUGUAGGACCAGACCGCUCGCCGUUCGGCCUGUAGUAAACAGUUCCUUCGUUUGUCUUCCUGAUGUGAGUGUCCCUUGGUACUUCGGUUGCUAGGUGCAGUUGAUCUACAAAAUCGAAAGUAAAACAUGUUGAUUACAGAGUAUCAACGUAGAAAACCGACAGGAAAACAUUUG